rnacentral:rRNA from 1 species
GACGUAGGGCGCGAGCGUUGUCCGGAAUUAUUGGGCGUAAAGAGCUCGUAGGCGGUUUGUCGCGUCUGCUGUGAAAACUCAGGGCUUAACCCUGAGCCUGCAGUGGGUACGGGCAGACUAGAGGCAUGCAGGGGAGAACGGAAUUCCUGGUGUAGCGGUGAAAUGCGCAGAUAUCAGGAGGAACACCGGUGGCGAAGGCGGCGACCUGGUCCGAUACUGACGCUGAGGCGCGAAAGCGUGGGAGCAAACA